GAGAAGAAGGUUCUGAUUUCUGCCCUACACUCCACACACCCAGAGAUGCUUUUAAAGCCACCCACAGUCAUCAUGUAUGAGUUGAGCAGCCGUAUAAAAGUGUGUAAUAGCUAUUUUUUUAAAAAAAAAUUAAAAAACCUACUAGACUUAUAUUACUGUUCUUCCUGUAGGGAGAGAAAAAUGAGUUUUUGUGGCUCCCUGUGCUCCUAGUACAGAUCAGAAGAUAUUAACUCAAGUAUGUCCCUCUUUCUUGAAAAAAAAAAAAGCCAAAAGGAAGUCAUAUGAGUCACGGUGGCGCAGUGGUUAGAGUGCAGUGUUAGGAUAUGGUUUGAGCCUAACAGGUUGUCCAGGCAAUAUAUGUGUUCUGUGACUUUACCAUGAAUAUGUAUUGUGUGACUUUAAAGUUUUACUGCUGAUUCAUUGUAAUGCUGAGUCAUGCUGUAAUUAGAUAAUCACUAGUUGUAAAUGUAUUUAAGAAAGGUACUGUAACAUAUUCAGUUGAUGAUAUGCUACCAUUGUGUGUGGAGUUGCUACUAUUGUGCUAUCAUCGGUGGAUGGAUCUGCUACCAUCGUGGUUUGUUACCAGAGUGAACUUGUUAUUCUAACCAACCACUGUUCGUAUGGUGCACCAAACCUCUAAAGAUGGUUGUGUGAAGAAUGCAAGAGCUGCAGGAAUAUAAGAAUGCAGGAAUAUCCUUCCCUAUUUUCCAAAAUGAAGUAAUUCAUCAUUGGAAGAGGUCAAUUGGACCAAAUGCCGCAAAACACCAAGAACAUCUGCUGGUGUUUUCUGAUGAACAUAAAGAGGAGAGCUGAGCAAGGAGAAAAUAAGGAACCAGAGAUGUUUUCAACUCAAAGAAAAUUGGACAGAGCUUUCUCAGUGGUGGUGAAUGCAAGUUAGUGGAUAUAAUGCUUCACUUAUGGAGCAAUAUUUUCAUGCAUUGCUUGUCAGCUACUCUUGAGGAGACAUCUGUUAUUUUUAGCCUCUAAACACGAGAGAAAAUAAAUUUAUUUAGCUUUUCAGUUGACUGCACAAUA